rnacentral:rRNA from 1 species
CGGGACACGUGGUAUCCUGUCUGAAUAUGGGGGGACCAUCCUCCAAGGCUAAAUACUCCUGACUGACCGAUAGUGAACCAGUACCGUGAGGGAAAGGCGAAAAGAACCCCGGCGAGGGGAGUGAAAAAGAACCUGAAACCGUGUACGUACAAGCAGUGGGAGCACGCUUAGGCGUGUGACUGCGUACCUUUUGUAUAAUGGGUCAGCGACUUAUAUUCUGUAGCAAGGUUAACCGAAUAGGGGAGCCGAAGGGAAACCGAGUCUUAACUGGGCGUUAAGUUGCAGGGUAUAGACCCGAAACCCGGUGAUCUAGCCAUGGGCAGGUUGAAGGUUGGGUAACACUAACUGGAGGACCGAACCGACUAAUGUUGAAAAAUUAGCGGAUGACUUGUGGCUGGGGGUGAAAGGCCAAUCAAACCGGGAGAUAGCUGGUUCUCCCCGAAAGCUAUUUAGGUAGCGCCUCGUGAAUUCAUCUCCGGGGGUAGAGCACUGUUUCGGCAAGGGGGUCAUCCCGACUUACCAACCCGAUGCAAACUGCGAAUACCGGAGAAUGUUAUCACGGGAGACACACGGCGGGUGCUAACGUCCGUCGUGAAGAGGGAAACAACCCAGACCGCCAGCUAAGGUCCCAAAGUCAUGGUUAAGUGGGAAACGAUGUGGGAAGGCCCAGACAGCCAGGAUGUUGGCUUAGAAGCAGCCAUCAUUUAAAGAAAGCGUAAUAGCUCACUGGUCGAGUCGGCCUGCGCGGAAGAUGUAACGGGGCUAAACCAUGCACCGAAGCUGCGGCAGCGACGCUUAUGC